GGACUACCGGGGUUUCUAAUCCCGUUUGCUCCCCUGGCUUUCGCGCCUCAGCGUCAGAAAAGGUCCAGUCGUGCGCUUUCGCCACCGGCGUUCCUUCCGAUAUCAACGCAUUUCACCGCUCCACCGGAAGUUCCCACGACCCCUACCGCCCUCAAGUCCACCAGUAUCCAAGGCACUUCUCCAGUUAAGCUGGAGGCUUUCACCCCGGACUUGGCAGACCGCCUACGCGCCCUUUAAGCCCAGUGAUUCCGAACAACGUUCGCACGGUUCGUCUUACCGCGGCUGCUGGCAC
rnacentral:rRNA from 1 species